AAUUGCAUCAAUGGAGGCCACUAAUUUCUCCUUGGAUAGUUUGCACAUCGAGGUCAUAUGCUCGGGGGCAGACACAAUGAUAAGUCUUACCUCUUCCAGAUCCUUCAUGGUUUUUACCUACUGCUUGAGUUUGAGUCACCUCUACCAAAUCCUCCAUGGCUUUGAAUUGGCCAAGUUAAAUGAUACCCAAUUCCAAAAUUAGGUCGAUAGAUAUAGUAUUGAAUAAAUUCCAUCACCCUCUUGGCUGUCGACUAAUAACAUUUGGGG
rnacentral:lncRNA from 1 species